rnacentral:rRNA from 1 species
GACGAACGCUGGCGGCGUGCUUAACACAUGCAAGUCGAACGGAAAGGCCCUGCUUUUGUGGGGUGCUCGAGUGGCGAACGGGUGAGUAACACGUGAGUAACCUGCCCUUGACUUUGGGAUAACUUCAGGAAACUGGGGCUAAUACCGGAUAGGAGCUCCUGCUGCAUGGUGGGGGUUGGAAAGUUUCGGCGGUUGGGGAUGGACUCGCGGCUUAUCAGCUUGUUGGUGGGGUAGUGGCUUACCAAGGCUUUGACGGGUAGCCGGCCUGAGAGGGUGAACGGCCACAUUGGGACUGCGAGACGGCCCAGACUCCAACGGGAGGCAGCAGUGGGGAAUAUUGCACAGUGGGCGGAAGCCUGAUGCAGCAGCGCCGCGUGCGGGAUGACGGCCUUCGGGUUGUAAACCGCUGUCGCCUGUGACGAAGCGUGAGUGACGGUAAUGGGUAAAGAAGCACCGGCUAACUACGUG